rnacentral:lncRNA from 1 species
UUAGAACUAAAGUCAAAAUUUAAAAUCUUACUGAGAGCUUACUUCACUAUUAACAAAUUUUAAUUGUAUUUUAAGAAGAAAACUAUUAUUUUUUUUAACUAAACUUAGCCAAUUUGGUAAAUUAAUUCAAUUGUAGAGGGCAAUGGUUUUAGAUCAAUCAUAAUAAUGCAGGGAGUAAACUGAAUUUACUAAUGAAUAGACUAUUGUAUAUUUAUCAGUUGAAACUAAUUU